AGUGAACGCUGGCGGUAGGCCUAACACAUGCAAGUCGAACGGCAGCACAGUAAGCGCUUGCUCUUACGGGUGGCGAGUGGCGGACGGGUGAGGAAUACAUCGGAAUCUACUUUUUCGUGGGGGAUAACGUAGGGAAACUUACGCUAAUACCGCAUACGACCUACGGGUGAAAGCAGGGGAUCUUCGGACCUUGCGCGAUUGAAUGAGCCGAUGUCGGAUUAGCUAGUUGGCGGGGUAAAGGCCCACCAAGGCGACGAUCCGUAGCUGGUCUGAGAGGAUGAUCAGCCACACUGGAACUGAGACACGGUCCAGACUCCUACGGGAGGCAGCAGUGGGGAAUAUUGGACAAUGGGCGCAAGCCUGAUCCAGCCAUACCGCGUGGGUGAUGAAGGCCUUCGGGUUGUAAAGCCCUUUUGUUGGGAAAGAAAAGCAGCAGGUUAAUACCCCGCUGUUCUGACGGUACCCAAAGAAUAAGCACCGGCUAACUUCGUG
rnacentral:rRNA from 1 species